CCGUGGCUGAAGCAACAAAGGAAGAACCACAGUGGGAUGGCAUGUGAGUUGGAGCCAAUUAAGCCAUCGCCAGUAUUAGAGAGUUAUCGCAACAAGUGUGAGUUUACCAUCGGCAAGAGUGUAGAUGGCAUCGGUCUUGACCCACAAGAGAACCAUUUCACCAGCACCUCUGACGUACCGGUGACUGGCGAUG